ACCCGGAUGUUGACGCCUGGGAGGGACUGCCUGUCGGUGGGGGUGGAGCAGCACACCUGCAGCUCGUUGAGAGGGUUCCACUCUGUCCUCCUCCCCGUGAACGUGCAGAUCAGUGGAGCAAUUAUUCAUACACCACGCUGAGUCACAGGCACACUGUAAGUUGAAGUCCACACGACUCGGCUGCCCUCUGCCUCCGCCACCUCCAGACAAAGACAUCCAGACGCACACACACCUCUAAUCUCUGACAUGCAAGCAAGGCAUGCCCUUCAAAGCCGAAGGAACUGGAGCAGAUGAGACAAAGAUGGACACGGCGGCGGUGACGCUUCGAGUGCGUCUCCUGUGCCUGCAAAGGUAACCCAACCUGUCCCCGCGUAUUCCUCCUCACCCCACCCCACCCCCACCCCCACACCCACCCCUUCCCCCGCCAGCCGCACAGCUCGACCUUGGCUUUGUACAUCCACCUUGAAAGAGAAGUCAGGGAGAGCUUUGGAGAUGAAUGCAGUAUCACUAGUGGGGCAAAUUAAUAGCACAACAAGGGACAUUUGUUUUUGCAGAAACGACACCCUGUGAGGACACAGAGGUGAGGUGAGGUAACUGCUGCUAAUUGCCAGAGCAGAUUUGCCCUAAUUGUGUUUAUUUGCCUGUCGCCCUACCGCGCCUCAUUGACUGCAGGUGUUACGGUUGAUCACCUGUGACCAGGUUCAGGCCAUGGUCAAAGCCUGCUUCCGCUUCCAGGUCCUUGGGGUGCCUCUGUCAGCGUGUGUUCAGGGGACGCCUGAAUAAGCAGCGCUGUGAGAAGCUCCUGGAAGAUCACAGAGCUCCAUCCGCUAUGAUCCAUGACUUGAGAAGAUGGUCCUUUUCUGUGUAUAUUUUUGUCCUCGAGCUAAACUUGGGGUUAUCUGGGGAAAAGAAGAGAUAAAUGAGAAAGAGAUGAGCGCUGUUUGUGGAGUUUGUGGACAAAGUGUUUACAAUGUUUCUUUAAACACAAAAAAAGGAAUACAUAUUGCGUGGAAAUUGAGAUGAAUGGCAGUCAGGAUACUACAGUUUGUCUGAUAAAUGUGCAACAGAUAAUUUAUUAUGGAUGAACCACUGAAUAGUCAGAGGACAUUGUCAAGUCCCAGUGAAACACGCUCGGGACGGGAGAGCGUAGUCAGUAAUCUGUGAUAAUAGUAAAAUCAUCUGAUUACAGUUCGUUCAUGUGCAGUGUGCAGAAUGCAUUAGCUUGCAAA